rnacentral:rRNA from 1 species
GACGAACGCUGGCGGCGUGCCUAAUACAUGCAAGUAGAACGCUGAAGGAGGAGCUUGCUUCUCUGGAUGAGUUGCGAACGGGUGAGUAACGCGUAGGUAACCUGCCUGGUAGCGGGGGAUAACUAUUGGAAACGAUAGCUAAUACCGCAUAACAGUAGAUAUCGCAUGAUAUCUACUUGAAAGGUGCAAUUGCAUCACUACCAGAUGGACCUGCGUUGUAUUAGCUAGUUGGUGAGGUAACGGCUCACCAAGGCGACGAUACAUAGCCGACCUGAGAGGGUGAUCGGCCACACUGGGACUGAGACACGGCCCAGACUCCUCCGGGAGGCAGCAGUAGGGAAUCUUCGGCAAUGGACGGAAGUCUGACCGAGCAACGCCGCGUGAGUGAAGAAGGUUUUCGGAUCGUAAAGCUCUGUUGUAAGAGAAGAACGAGUGUGAGAGUGGAAAGUUCACACUGUGACGGUAUCUUACCAGAAAGGGACGGCUAACUACGUG